UCAUAGUACACCGAUAGAAGCAGAUGAGAACAUGGAAUUUAUGUGAAUGUUGUAUGCCUAUUUGCUGAAAAUAUGAUGUAUUUUCUGAAAUACCAGGAAACUCAGAAAAAAAAUCAGGAAGUUCUACUCUCAUCUAGAUAUAUAUGUAUGAGUAAUACAUACAUAUAAAUCCAGACAUCUUCUCACAGAAUUAGUUUCCCAAGUCGCUGUGCAAAAACCUGGCUUCUUUUUCUUGCAAGCUAACAGGUUUGAUAAAAGAGAAUAAAAUUUCAGCUGGCUGUUGCACAUUAAAGCUCUGGGUAUCCUGCUGCCAAAUGAAGGCUGUAGCUCCACUUUCAGGACGUAUACUUGGCAGGAGAAGUGAGUGCUUGAGAAUGCAUCUGCAGAGUGUAUAGACCAAGGAGCCCACAAACCUGGCAAGGAUCAAAGUGUACAAGAGGGUGGAUUUCCAGCCACUUCACGAAACCUUUCCAGUCUUUUCAUUUCAUGACAGGUUUCAAAUGGAAGCAUCUCCAGCACUGCAAGAUUCCUGAAGUUAUCGCAUCAAGAACUUCUCUAAGUAAUUUUCUUGUACGCUUCUUUGAGCCUUUUGUAUUUAGAAAGGAGACCCAGUCUUGCUUAACUUCUCCUCUAAGUGUCAGCCUUGCUCCAAGAAAAAAAGCUUCUGCUGCACUGUAGUGCUUACAGUUCAAUAUCAGUGUAUCAUUUUAGUCAGAGCAGCAGCUGUCUCUUGGGCCUCCUUGGUUACCCCCCAGCCCAUUUCACUAAACUCUUUCACAUCGCUGCAUACUCCAGUUCACCCCAUCUGACCUCGAAGGCUCCACUAGUGCUGCUGUGCAGCACAGCCUAUUGCCUGAGCCAAGAAAGCAAAAAGCAAGAAAAAUGUGAGGGGAUGAUACAGGGAAAAAGAAAAAACUGACUGUGUAAGCAAAUUCACAUUACAGUGAGUACUCAUGCAAAAUACUGUUUGAGAAAUUUAUCAUCUGCUUAUCAGUGUCCAUGACAGAGGGGACAGCAGGCCCAUAGGCCAACCAGCCCAAAUGGGGAGGGGGGUGUCAAUUGUUUACAGGCUGAUUCAGCCCAGUUCUUUAACUAAUGGAGCAGGGGACCCCCUGGGAAAGGGGGAAGGGUAGGGAGAUGGGCCUAAAAACAGAACAGUGGCAAUGAUUUGAGGAGGAAAGUUAAUUUACAAAAUAAGAUAUUGGAAUGCAAGAUAGCACAAUAUAAUUGGAACUGAGGCUAAUAAAUCAAAGAAAAUAAGAGAGUAUCUGAAACCUUUUGGUUACUUUGGCCUUACUCUGAAUUGAAGGUGAAAUGGCUGGGGAGCACACCCACACACUGUCAGGCAGCAAGAGAGAGCAAGUCCCGUGACUUGUGGGUCUUAUCUUCCCCUCUGAACGCAAAGUCAUCUGGGCCAUAACAGAAGUUUGAGUGCUGCAGCUAAACUGAACAGUACACAAUCAACCUGAAUAUAUCUGUCCUAAAAAGAAAAUGGCUCGGUGAAUCUUCAGCUCUAACGGGAAAGAUAUGAAGAAGAAAAUGCCUGUUCUGGCUUCAAAAACUCUCUCUCAUCUCUGCUUGACAGAUGCAGUCAUGUCUGUGGGCUGAGCUCAACAAGAGAGCAUUUCAAUUGCAUGCAGUAAUAUUUCCCCUAACAGCUUAUUCACUUAGAGCAGCUCCCAUGAUGUGCAACUCCAUCCAUAGUAUAUUCAUUUAGUUUUCAAAUGUAACAGAACUUGCUUUACAUUUGCAUGCAUUUGAAUUUCAAUGUUGACAUGAAAAAUACUGGAACUAGUUAUAAAAGAACAGACGUAUUUGCCCACUUACCUUUUUUAUGACUAAGAAAUCCCAUUGAGAAACUGCAGUGAUUGGCAGCUUCUGAUAGUUACUUAAAAAGAGAUUAAGGUACUUCGGCUGGGGCCAACUUAUAGCCUUCUGCAGGCAAUCAAAAUUCCCAUGAAAUCAUUAAGACCAGUAAAGAGGCUUACUUCCCUCCCAUUUACCUCAAAAUCUACAGUUCCCAGCUGUAUCUUUACAACUCUCACAAACUAUUCUCAGCAAAAUGGGCACUUCCCUGUGCUCCUCAGAUGCUUUCUGACAGGUGCAUUAAAUACCGAUUCUCACUUCCGUAGACCAGGCACUAAAAAUGGAUCUCUGUCUGUAGAGGGAGAAUAUUGGUGAGAAACUGGAGAGUUGUCAAACUCAUACAGGAACAGUCAACAUGUUAUGCACCAUGCAAAGGUGUAUAUGAAAACUGUAUAUGUAAAGUUGGAACACAUUGUCCAGAGGGAUUCCAUAAUGUUCAUCUUCAGAGGUUUAUAGACUUGCUUAGAUAAAGCCUUCAGAGGUCUGACCUUGUUUUCAGCAUGUGUUGUGUUAGAGGCCUUUUGAGAUCCCUUCUGACAUAAAUGAUUGCCUAAAUGGUGCUUCAGUUGGAUAAUUUAUUACAGUGGUACGUUUUACUUUGAAAUUUCAGUGGAAAUUCUCCAUAGAUUGCCAUGUCUGCUUCUUUUUCUUUUCAAAAACUGUAGCAAUUUCUCUUACAUGAAUUACUUUUGUUUCCUUCCCCACUUGAUAUGCUUUUCAUUUAGGGUCAAAGAAACUUCUACCUUUUAUCCCAAUAUUGUGGUACUUUGUGGCAAUACAAAUUUCAGCUAGACUCUCCCAGGUACUCCUCCCUCCUCCUUCUCCUAUCACUUUAUCUCUAACAUUUUCAAAUCUUGUGACAUGAUCAAACUCAUUCAUAAAUAUACCUGGCCUCUAAAUCAGUAGAUGUCAUUGUUCACUGUAGCCUUUACACGUGAUCUGCUAGAAUCAGUGGGAGUAGCUAAAAAAAAUCUUCUUUUUUCUUUUUUCCUCCUCAAGGUUUCUUAUAGUUAUUAAUGCUGUUGUGAAAGAGCCUGCAAGACUCGUUUCUAUCUUACGCACAUGAAUCUUUCUUAUGCUAUAUUUCUGCGUUAGUGGGGCAAAAGUCUUUUCUCUGCCAUACUAUGGAGAUUGUCAUAAAAUGAUGGUGAUUUAUUUUUCAUGCUACUGCUCAUCAAGCAAACAAUCAUUUACAUGAAAAUUUACAAAUGUCUUCCAUGAAGUCACCCCAGGGCUUCACCAAAAUCACUACCAAUCAGUGACAGUAAAAUAAUAAUGUAAAUUACAUGAGGAGACUUUUCAUAUAUGUUACAAAACUUCACACAGACAGUGAAGAUGCAUGGUCUCUAGUGCUCCUCUUUUCAUUCUUGCUCCACUAUAUUACUGCCUUAAAUAAUGGAGAACCAUCACUGUAUAAGCUCUCCAGCAGGCAGCCAACAUCUGCCCAGCUAAAUAGAGCUCAAUCCAGGGACUCCUAAUCUGUUAGCUUAGAAUACAUGCUGGACAGAUGUGAUCUAGAUAGAACUUCUACAUAGAAAAUGUAUUAUAGAUAUGAAUAGUAAAUUAUGUUGGCUUAAUAAACAAUUAUUAAAAAUAUCUUUACAGAGUCAGUGAAUGGCUUUUUGUUUGCAGUGCUCACAUGGUGAAGCAAACUGGAAAUUCUGUGACUGCUUGAACAAUCUUUCAGAAAAAUAUAAUAGAUUAUUCCUGGAAAGGAUUAUUAGAGUCCACAGGACAGCCUGUCUCAGUUAUUCAGAAUGACAUUUUAGUCUCACUGAGACCAAGAGCAGAAUUUCUUGUGACUGCAAAGUUUUUUUUAAAAUAUUAGAUUUACACUUCUGCUUUUCAAUUUCCCAAGGAUCUACACACUGCUAUGUUGACCAUGCCAAAGAUAGGCUGGAAGGGAGAUGAGGACUGAGUGUAGUUGCCAAGUUUAGAUGGAUUUCAGCAUUAACAAUGCACAUCACCUUAUUAAGUUUGUGGCAAGGUUUUGCUAGCAGGGGACUGCAGGAGUGGCUUCUGUGAGCAGAACUCAGCGCUUCCCCAUGUCAGAGCACAGCAGCUGCUCCAGCAGGUACCUGCCACUGCUAGAGCUUUCAUGAGUGAUGCUGGGUCUACUCAGGGAGAGCAGAUUUAAGAAAGGGAAACACUGCUGCAUUACAGCAAGUGGGAGAGAGGAGUGAGAAAUGGGAGAGAAGCAGCCCUGGAGCCACCAAGGUCAAUGUAGGAGGGCAGGCUGUGCUCCAGGUGCAGAGCAGAAGCUCCCUAGACAGGCCUGUGGUAGACCAGACUGUCCCCCUGCAGCCCAUGGACACCAUAUGGAGCAAAUCUCUGCAUGCAACCAUGGAGGAGACCACAAGCAGUAGAAGAUGGGGGUCUGAAUGAACCACAGCCCACAGGUACCCCUCUAGGAGAAGCUCCAGAAUGGAGCAGCAGCCUGUGGAGAGCAGCCCAUAGUGGGACAGUGCAGUUCUGAAGGAUUGGCCCCACGCUAUGGAGCUGGAGCCAUGUUGGUGCUGUGCUUGAAGAGCUACAGGAAGCCCACGCAGGAUCAGUUUGGAGGGAACCCACUCUAGAAUAGAAGCAGAGAGUGACCGUGAAGGAGUGGCAGGGAUGAAGUGUUAUGGGCUGACUGCAGCCCCCACUCCCCUGCACAACUUGAGGGGAGGAGGUAGAAGAGGAUGGAUGGGGGAAGAUGUUUUUAAUGUGCUUGUAGUUUCUCACUGCUCUAGUCUGUUAUCAACUGGCAAUAAUAAUUACAUUAGUCUCCCUAUGCCAAAUCUUUUUUGACUGUGAUGACAAUUGAUGAGGAAUCUACAGGUCCUUAUCUCAACCCAUGAGCUUAUUAUUAUCAUAUUACCUCCCCGUAUCAUUUUGAAGGAGAGAGAAAGCAGCAUGGUGGAGCUUACCUAUCAGUGCUAAACCACCUCUAAUUCACAUACAGAUACAUGAGAAAGGGAAGGUAAUGCCAUGCAGGACACACACAAAAAAAGUGGAUGUAACUCAGUCCUGAGCAAGAUUGCAACUUGAAUGCAUGCUCUCAUUCCAAACUUGUUUUAGACUCUAAGAAAGGUCCAUAAUAUUGAAGAGAGUUUAAAUCUUGGAGGCUGAUUUCCUGGUUCCCAGGGCUUUCUUUUUGGUGAACUACAUAGCCUCUUAUCCCAAAACUCUACAGCAGGGGGGUGGAAAUAAACCAAGCUAGAAUAUGAAAAUAAUACUUUUUGCUAUAUAAAAAGACAAACAAAUUCAUAAAGGGAUAAAGUUCUUUAUCUUAGAAUUCAGAUUUGAAGCAAUCUAUCUCACGCACGGCUGGAAAGGGUACUUGGCAACUCAGCAUUAUAUAGGAGAAUGCAAACUGAUAUGGAUGUAAUGCUAUAACUUGAAGGACAGUGCAACAAUAAUUACAGCUGAACAAUCCUAGGCUACAGCAAAUGAGAACAAGCCCAAAUACAUCAGCCAUAGACACACAAAUAGAUGAAGAAAACCACUUACCUUUAGAAGACCUCCAGUAGACAAGGAUCCCCAGUAAAAUGUACUUAUCUCCACUGCCAACACUUAAAUGAGGUCUGGAAAGGGGAGGAUCCUGGCUCCACCCCUUCCCUUCACUCAGAUUCAUUGCACGCACCUGCCUUCUUACCAGGUGCUCAAUCACUGGCUCAGGGUUAGCAUUUCUGCUACGUAUGAUCAAAAAAUGUAUGGAUAAUUCUUAAUAUAAACAUAGUCUGCAUACCAAGAUAAAUCGUUUUUUACCCUACCUACUCUUCUCCAUAGGAGUCCUGGGCUGCAUCUGCUUGUUCAGCUUUCUUUGGGCUUGAGGCUACUUGUUUUGCUGCAAAUUAUACCACCUUAUUUUUCAGCUCUACUUGUAUGAUCGAGAAAGGUUAAUGAUCUGACUAAAUUUGGGCAUAUUAAAAAAUGUCUUAAAGUGUGCUUCUUGCUAUCAUUUUCAUGUCUCUGCUCUAAAACACAGAUAGUUAUAAAGAAUAGUUGUCACAUUUCGUAAUUUACUUUUGAAAGAAACUAAUUUCAAUUCUCUUUCCAUUUAGAAAAAGAGAACAUCUUCAGGUGAAAAUUUUGAGACAAAAAGUUCACACUCAGGACAAACCCUGCUUAGUUCAUAGUGGGACAAAAUAAUUAGGAAGCAUAGAUCAUGGUAACCUAGGGGAAUCUCAGUGGCGUACCAUAUAUUUUCAUGAUUUGGAGCGUUUGACACCUUAAUUUCAUUUGAAGUAACUCCAUAACCAUGUUAACUCAGGACUGUAGAAUCAAAAAUGUUGCCAUCUGGCAAGCUUCCUGCUCAUAGUAAAACUACUGCCAACAGAGGAGCAAGUUUGCCAGGGCUUUGAGUCUUGAAGACCUCCAAGGAUAGAGACACAUGACCUGUCUGAAGUACCUGUUCAAAUCGUGAACUAUUCCAUUAGGAAAAGAAAGAUUUUCCUUAGGUCCUUAGCUAUUAGUUUGCAGUAAAUGUGGUGAGGAUAUAGUGCCCAUGCAGGGAGUCUCUGCACCCUUGGUUGUAGAACUUCACAUUCUGUGUUCAGUAUCAGAAAAUUUCUGUUGUUUCGGUCUUUAGACUUAUCAAGGUCCACCUGGACUGAAACUCUGCUGUUUAUUGUGUCACCUCUAAUUUGUUAUCCACACAUUUGCUGAACAUGUAUUUCAUGUCACUUAUGUUACUUAUAAUGAACAUAAAUGCUUUGCUGGUAUUAACGCUUGCUUUAUUGGUGUAAUGGAACGUACAUUUCAAUCUGUAAGUUUUGUAACAAAUUCAUAUUUUGAAUUCUGGAAGGUGAAUCUGUAACAUGCUAUGCAGCUUUUGCAAGCAAGGCAAAUAAAGAAACAAAACAAAUGCUUUUGUCUAUGUUCUGCUGUGUAAAAAUACCAAGUCAUUCAGAGUUCAACCAAGUAUUUCUUUGCUACAAGCAGACUUUAGUAUCUACAGAAUAUGUAAUUGAUUCUUCUUAGUGAUAGGGACAAGAAUUGAAGAC
ensembl:lncRNA